rnacentral:tRNA from 3 species
GCGGCUGUGGUGAAAUUGGUAGACACGCCAGAUUUAGGUUCUGGUGGCGAGAGCCGUGGGGGUUCAAGUCCCUCCAGCCGCACCA